rnacentral:lncRNA from 1 species
CGUAAAAGUAUAAUAAGCAAAACAUACUAUUCUAUUGACAUAAUCAUCUACGAUGAUGUGGCUUAAAAGAUCCAUAAAAGAAGAAUCACCAACUUCAAAGCGAUGUGUUACUUAUGCUUUUUAAUCAUUGUAUCACAGUAUUCCAACAGAAAGUGGGAUAUUGAAGGCCAUCAACAUAAAUAAAACCCUUGUGAACACCAGAAUAAACACAAAAGAACUGAGCCAUAUUCUUUUCUUGAUACAUGAUAUUAUGGAAUUUGAAUUCCAUAACCACCUUGCCCUUACCAUUGGAAGCAUGCCUAUCUAUAACAUAAGUUGUCAUCAAGGAUGAAGGUUCCUUUAUAACAAUACCCACAAUAUCCUGGAAAAAAAACAUUAUGAUUAACAGAGGACGGUUCCAAGAGAGGAGUGAAAAAAUAACCAAUAAUCUACACAUGCCUCUAAGGCAUGAGAGAUCUGCACUUGUGAAAUAGCAAAUUCAAUAUGCACUAAAAAGGGGUUUAGCAAUCAUACCAUUAAUGAAAACCUGAUCAGUAAGAGAAUUAACAAAUCUUUCAUCAACUUGAACCAACGGAGGGAUUGAAUAAACAGAGGUUGGAGUUUGAAGUGCUUCACCUUACACCAAGUUCAGCUAUAUGUCAAAAACGUGACAUAAUGGAUCACUUUUAUAACAUAGAACUCUUAACAGAAUUCACAUAAAAAAGAUUAACAUUUUAUCAAUAACCUCAAAUCAAUCAAAACAUCCAAGAUCUAACAUACUUUCU